ACGAACGCUGGCGGCGUGCUUAACACAUGCAAGUCGAGCGGUAAGGCCCUUUCGGGGGUACACGAGCGGCGAACGGGUGAGUAACACGUGGGUGACCUGCCCUCAGCUCUGGGAUAAGCCUGGGAAACUGGGUCUAAUACUGGAUAUGACUCCACGGUGCAUGUCGUGGGGUGGAAAGCCUUGUGCGGCUGAGGAUGGGCCCGCGGCCUAUCAGCUUGUUGGG
rnacentral:rRNA from 1 species